rnacentral:rRNA from 1 species
GACAGAGGUCCCGAGCGUUAGGCGGAAUCACUGGGCUUAAAGCGUGUGUAGGCGGCGGCCUAAGUACCUUGUGAAAUCCCACGGCUCACCCGUGGAACUGCUCGGUAUACUGGGUCGCUUGAGCCACUUAGGGGCUACCGGAACAAAUGGUGGAGCGGUGAAAUGCGUAGAUAUCAUGUGGAACGCCAAUGGUGAAAACAGGUAGCUGGGAGUGUGCUGACGCUGAGACACGAAAGCCAGGGGAGCAAACGGG